AUGACCAUUGCAUCGGCAGCACAUUGCUUUCGUACCGGGUUGUCCCGGAUCGGCCAUGAGGAGGGGGCACGAGAGCCGCUAAGGUUCAACGUGCAGAUCAAGGACGAGGAAGAUAUCACCAUGCUCAUCAUUUCGUCAGCCUUGAGAGCGAUAACGAAGCAAUGGCUGGUCCUGAAGCCUCCUUGCGUCGUGAGGCUCUCAGCUUACAAGUGUCACAAGUUCGUCUCCGGCGACCUCCUCGUCCUACGGCUCUUCAGGCUCGGCUUCAAGGUCCAGGUCUCCAACACCAGUAGCUCGAUCAUGUGCAAGGCGAGGUGCCAGAAGCACUGGUACCGGGGCGGCAUCCAGCAUGCCCUCCAGUUGCUACCGGAUCCACAGAUCGCCGUCGCCGCCGCGCUUCCCCCCUCCCUCUCCGGCGCCCUCAUGGAGACGGACACCCCACCCGCGGCGGCGGCGCCCGGCGUCGGGGCCCAGACCCUCGCGCUCGCGGUGGCCGUGGAGGACAAGGCCACGGCCAAGCGCGCGCGGAAGCGGAGCAGGUACCUCGCCGACUACGAGACCCCCACCAUCCUCAACACCCUCCACGGCGACGACGACGACGACUGCAUCGUCACCCCGCCUCCGCCUCCGCCUCCAAGAAAGGGGCCGGCGCUGCUCCUCCGGCUCCGGCAGGCCAACGUCGCCGCGCCCGACCUGCUCGCCGCGCUCCACCGCUGCGCCGCCUCCCCCUACGAACCCCCGGGGACGGGGGGCGUCGACGCCGGCCUUCUCCUCGGCUUCUUCGCCCUCCACAGGGAAGCCCACCACGCUGGACCAUCAAAUGCAGAUGCAGCACUAGGGGGCACUGGACCCAGCAAGAGGAAGAAGAAGAAGAAGAAGGUGACAUUCGCACUGGGUGCGCCUGCUAGUGCCGCCGGCGCGGGUUGCUCUGCUCAGCUCGCUGCCACACACAGCAGCAGCACCGGCAGCGCCAGUUCCGCACCCAAGAAGCCGGCCAAGAACAAGAAAGCUGUCAACGGGCAGCAGCAUUUCAGCAAGCCGGUGGCCCUCAUUCUGCAAUUCGCCCCGGGCACCGCCGCCGAUCAGCUCCCUUCCAAGGAGCAGCUCCACUCCACACUCCGCGGCUUCGGCCCCCUCAUCGAGCCCAGCACCGAGAUCACCAAGAAACAGGCGCGCGUCGUGUUCCAGAGCAGCGCCGCCGCGGAGGCCGCCUACAGCUGCGUGCACACGCUCGGCGACUUCGCCGCGGCGCGGCUGCAGUACCUGCGCCCGCCGCCGCCCCCUCCAAAGAUCCCGCUCACGGACGUCCGGAAGAACCUCGAGAGGAUGAUCGCGUCCCUCACCGGCCCAACGCUGCUCGGCAAGGAGGACAGCGCGUGGAGCCUCGCCGGAGAGAUGCAGCACCUUCUGGUCAAGGUCGACCGGGCGCUGAAUGCCGGCAGGGCAGGGCCUUCCACCUCAGCUGCUGCUCAUCACUAUUGA
rnacentral:rRNA from 1 species